GUGCCAGCAGCCGCGGUAAUACGGAGGGUGCAAGCGUUAAUCGGAAUUACUGGGCGUAAAGCGCACGCAGGCGGUUUGUUAAGUCAGAUGUGAAAUCCCCGGGCUCAACCUGGGAACUGCAUUUGAAACUGGCAAGCUAGAGUCUCGUAGAGGGGGGUAGAAUUCCAGGUGUAGCGGUGAAAUGCGUAGAGAUCUGGAGGAAUACCGGUGGCGAAGGCGGCCCCCUGGACGAAGACUGACGCUCAGGUGCGAAAGCGUGGGGAGCAAACAGGAUUAGAUACCCCAGUAGUCC
rnacentral:rRNA from 1 species